CGUACAGCCGGGGAGGGGGCGGGUGAUCGUGCCCAGCAGGAGAGACGCUGGGGGUGGGCGGAGGCGCCACGGUGAUGGGCACCGCGCGAAAUGGCGGGAGGGCGCGUCGCGAGGCUGCAGCCCGCCCCCCGGGGCUGGGUUUCAGUUACGCCGGGGCUGCAGCCGAGUUCAGCAAACUCGUGUUGUUGAAGUGGCGCCGCUGGGUGCGUGAGGCGCAGAUCGCUAAAGCUGGCCUAGGGCGACUCGGCCUUACCCCGGCCAGGGGCGGGGAGCGACCCUAACGUGCUGCUUUACGCGGGCAAAGGCCGCGGCAGAUCCCAUUUGCCUAAUGUAACUACAAUUUUUUUUUAAUUGGACUUUGGGAGACAUAACUUCUUUUAGCAACAGGACUGUCACAGGAUUCAAGAUGCAGGAUCAUACAGAAUGACAAAAGAGACCCACACCCAAAUUUCUCUCACACACAUUUGUUUAGUCUCCCCUGAAACUGCUGGCUUGUUUCCCCAGCCCAGAAAAGACUUACAGACCUAUGUGUCUCCUUAAAGACACAAUUUUAUUCAACAAAAAACUUAGGCAAAACAUCAAAACAAGAAGCAGUUCCUUUGCCCACCAUGAGGCUUUUCCUUUUGUCUCUUUCACUGCCAAAGGAUGCCAUACCCUUACCUUCAAUUUCCACCCCACUCUCUCCCUUGCAGGAGCCCAUCUCCCUCAAUUUAGCCACUUGCUUGCUUUUAUAUUAACUUUCUCCCUUCCCAGCUGGGUCUGAUAAAUGAACGGGGCAGGCUGGCCUCACACCUAGUAAGCCACCCCAUUACAACACUGAAAGUUUGUGCAGCAAGUGAGAGCAAGUCCACAGAGCAUUUUAGCAAAUGAAGCAGCAGUUUUGAAUAGGUUCCUCAAAUUAAUGUGGGGUUAGUAGAGUUGCUUAAGGAUGGCAGGAGGUAUGGUCACAUAUUUAUCCUGAGAUGUCAAGGCUGAGAGGUAGCUUUUGGGGAAGCCACAGAAGGGAGUUGCAACAAUUAAGUUGAGUUGAGGAAGGAGACAGAGUUGUGUUUGCAGAAGCUUUUUUUCUCCCUUUGGUCCAAGCCCUCUUGCCUCAAACAUUUAGCUGAAAGAAAAUGAGGUAGAACCACAAGCUUACUAGGAUAAAAACAGAGAGACUGGACAGGAAGGCGUUAAGGAUGUUAUAGAUACAUACAGUCUCCUGUGGGCAGAAGAUAAGAGGACAGACAUCCAUGCAGAUAUGACUGUAUCAACACUCUUUCAUAGGCCACGUCUACAUCACAAACUUUGAUCAACGCGAGUGACAUCAGCAUACAGCUGCCGAAGUUAAUGCAUCGCUUGUGCAUUCAUACUUGGCAGCUUGUGUAAGUGCUGCAUGUUCUCAUCAGGAGUGCUUGUGUUGAUGCAAAGUGUGAUACACAACAGGUAAGAAUCCCAGUGCCAAGUACCACGCUCCAGUGCAAUACCUUCUGGGGAAGUUUUGGCAAUGUGUUGUGAGAUACAAAUAACUUACCGAAGGAUCCCUGGGUGCUAAGGGUCAAGUUCCCAGCAUGUAAUGUUCUCCAUCUCAUAAUGCCAUGCAUAUCCCAUCAUUUUUUUAUUUUUUUUUAAGAUCCCACAAACUCGCAUGACACUGUUCAGUGUCUAUCAUGUCUGACAGAAGUACAGAGGCCUGCAGAGCUCUGUACUGUCCUCAUGAACAUUACAAAUACACAGGAUGCACAAUUCUCCAUUAUUAUCAGAGCAGCAAAACCAACCACAACAAUGGGGGACAUGACAAUUUCUUUGAAGACAGAUUGCUGAGUGACACAGCAGAAAACAAUUCAAGGUUGUUGGUGGCAUUCACUGAGUUCUUUUUUACCAGACUGAGCCUAAAUUUAAGUGUCUUUCAUGUGCAUGUCAGUGUCUAUAUAUCUGCCAGAAGAUGGGUGAGCAUCUUCAAGAACUUAAAGGAAGGGUGCCUAUCUGCCUAUUGUCAAAGUAGUUCAUGAUUUUGGGAUCCUGAUACACAUAUCUGGACCCCUAGAUAGCAGCAGCCAGAAACAAUCUUUCACCUUCAGCUGACCAAGCCAGCAUGCAUUUUUUUUUGCCAUGUGCUUUUGUUAACAUGAGGUUAGCUUAUUGCAAUAUGCUUGGACUGGGUCAAUACAGAAGGUCAUUUGGAACCACCAGCUAGUGCAAGUUAUAACUGUCCACCUUUUAGGCAGAGGAGAGAAAGUUGGCAUAUUAUAUCUGGAUUCUUUGUUGGGAGCAGGGGUGGGAACUCAGGGUUCUGGUUACUGUCUCUCGAACUCCAAGAACCUUAGUAAAACAGUGGGAAAAGAAUGAUUGAUGGUAGGCCCCAUUAUCUCAGAGCCUCUCUCUCCCACGAUACCUCCCCACAGCAAACUGCACUCUGAAGAAAUACAAUGGUUAUCAGUGCCAAUGGGGAGAUUCAUGGAGAAGUAGGAAGGAAAGUGCUCCCAAUAACAAGACCACCGCCUCUGCAAUUCAGUCCUGUCAAAUCAGGGUGACCAGACAGCAAGUGUGAAAAAUUGGGAUGGGAGUGGGGGGGGGGGGUAAUAGGAGCCUAUAUAAGAAAAAGACCCCAAAAUCGGGACUGUCCCUAUAAAAUCGACAUCUGGUCACCCUAUGUCAGAUGUAUCUCUGAACUCAACUUAAUCCAUUUUUAGGAAGAAUCUAGUGGUGUCUUGUCUAUACUUGCACUCCCAAUGGUGAAGCUGAAGCAGUGGUAGCAAUGGCAGGAGACUGUAUAGGCAGAAUAUAUCUGGUGUAGAUAAGGGCUAAGUGAAAGUAAGUAAAUAAGCCACCUCUCCCUCUUCAAGCUUCCCACUGCAGGCCUUUGAAUCUACUAACUGCUAUCUGUUCCCGUAGAUCCUCUCAGAGGAGAUGUCCUCACUGCUGCAGGGGGGAACAAAGUAUAUACUUUCUGUCCUUGAGAAGCUGUUUGGUACCAUUCUAACCUACAUAAAGUACCCCCAGGUACAGUGACGGAUACAUUAUACUUGUAAUAAUAUUAACAUUUAAAUCCAAGAAGAUUAUUAAAUUUUCACAGAAUGCCUAGGAGGCUUUAGAAAACUGUCCUACGCAAAAAAAAGUAUAUAUAUAGUCACACACUACAAUGGUCCCCAGCAGUGUCAUUACAGUUAAUUCCCUCUCCGUGCUCCAUGAUAGUUUGAUCCUGUACUUUUCUUUAAAUUUUUAUAUGUCAGGUUUUAACCCCAAAGAAGUUUGUCUUGGAACUCAAUUCUUACAAAAACUUUGUUAAUAUAGGGUUAGGAAGAGAAGAGGCAACAAUAUUUCUUCAUAUUUGUCAUAUUUUAGCAAGGACAGAGUAGAUACCACAAACCUCCCCCCCCCCACAAAAGCUGACUAUUAGAACAUUUUUGGAGAAUUAUUUCAACUUUGGACACCUGCCUUUGUUUAAAAAAAAACAAAACAAAAAAAUGUAAAUGACAGGAUGAUGGUUGGAAGCUGGCACUGUAAUUUUUUCCCCUAAUGCCAUUUUGAAAUAACUAUAGUAGUGAAACAGAUUUUUUUUUCCAAUCUACUGAAAAUUUAUAAACUCUAGGAUGGAAAGAAAAUCUCCACCUAGCCAAUCUGUUAAAAAUCCUUAAAUUGAUUUUCUCUAGUGGAGGCAAAACCUCGUUCAGCUAACCAUAAAUACAACUCAGGAAAAUCAGUCUGCUGAUCAAAGUUCCAAGAGGAUGUGGGAAAUGAUUAUUUGGUUUCCAUUAUUUGGAAACAGUCAUUUCCAGUGGUUUCUGAGUAAGCCCCAGUGAAAAUCUGUCUGGUUUCAGUUUUUCCUUGAAAAUGAGGAUCAAGCAAGUUUGUAAAGGAAUACUACACAAACCUUCAUUCAGGCUUCAAUUCCAGAGGGUACUUAAGUAUGUACCAGACUUCAAGCAUUCAAAUAGUCCCAUUGACUAAGUAUGUAAACAGUCCCAUUCAAGACAACAUGACUAUUCCCAUGUUUAAAGUUUGGCAUAAACUUAAACCCCUUCCUGAAUUUCAGUCUCUGUCACAUGCACUAUUGGGAAAUAUGGUGUUGAACUCUUAAACCAAAUAAGAAAAAGAACAUUCACUAUUCUAUAGAAGACUGAGCUUGACGGGAAAUCUCAGGUGUUGCCCUGACAAGACCAAGAGUUGAUACUUUUUCUAUAUGCUUAAAUUUCUGGGGCCAACAUCUCAAUGGGAAGUGCCUAAGUUUAAGCAUCCAGUUUUGAAAAAUCUUGGCUUUUAACAUCAUACAUAUUCUUUCUUGAAUGAACCCAGACAGAAGGUAUUUACAUGCCAGAAAUGCUAAACAACGCCCCUUCAUGCUUCGGCCACCAUUCCAAGGACAUGCUUCCAUCCUGAUGAUGCUAGUUAAAAAAAUAAUGUGUUAAUUAAAUUUGUGACUGAACUCCUUGGGGGAGAAUUGUAUGUCUCCUGUUCUGUUUUACACACAUUCUGCCAUAUAUUUCAUGUUCUAGCAGUUUCGGAUGAUGACCCAGCACAUGUUUAUUUUAACAACAACACUUUCACUGGAGAUUUGACAAAACGCAAAGAAGGUACCAAUGUGAGAUUUCUAAAAAUAGCUACAGCACUGGACUCAAGGUUUAGGAAUCUGAAAUGCCUUCCAAAAUCUGAGAGGGAUGAGGUGUGGAGUGUUUUUUCAAAAGUUUGAAAAGAGCAACACUCUGAUGCGGAGAACCCGAACCACCAAAGAGAAAUUUAACCUGCAGGUGGCAUCUGAGUCAAAUGAUGAAAUGAACAUGCGUCAGUCCACUCUGCUUCGGAUCGUUAUCAAGCAGAACCCGCCAUUUGCAUAGACGUAUGUCCUCUGGAAUGGUGGUUGAAACAUAUGAAUCUUUAGCGCAUCUGGCCCAUAAAUAUCUUGCGAUGCUGGCUACAACAGUGCCAUGUGAAUGCCUGUUCUCACUUUCAGGUAACAUUGUAAACAAGAAGCAAGCAGCUAUGUGCUGCAAAUUGUAAUCAAACUUGUUUGUCUGAGCAAUUGGUUGAACAAGAAGUAGGUAUGAAUGGAUUCAUAGGCUCUAAAGUUUUACAUCAUUUUGUCUUUGAGUGCAGUUAUGUAACAAAAGAAAUCUACAUUUGAAAGUUACACUUUCACAACAAAACAAUUGCACUACAGCACAUGUAUGAGGUGAAUUGAAAAAUACUAUUUCUUUUGUUUUUUACAGUGCAAAUAUUUGUAAUAAAAAUAAAU